GUAGGUGGCAAGCGUUGUCCGGGAAUUAUUGGGGCGUAAAGCGCGCGCAGGCGGUUCGUUUAAGUCUGAUGUGAAAGCCCACGGGCUCAACCGUGGGAGGGUCAUUGGAAACUGGAGAACUUGAGUACAGAAGAGGAAAGCGGAAUUCCACGUGUAGCGGUGAAAUGCGUAGAGAUGUGGAGGAACACCAGUGGCGAAGGCGGCUUUCUGGUCUGUAACUGACGCUGAGGCGCGAAAGCGUGGGGAGCAAACAGGAUUAGAUACCCUGGUAGUCCACGCCGUAAACGAUGAGUGCUAAGUGUUAGGGGGCUUCCGCCCCUUAGUGCUGCAGCUAACGCAUUAAGCACUCCGCCUGGGGAGUACGGCCGCAAAGGCUGA
rnacentral:rRNA from 1 species